CGUCCUCCUCCCUUCUCUCAUCAGUCACCAGCCGCCUCUCUCUCUCACAAAGCUCCGCCGCUGCGGAAGCUUCGCCGGGAAGCAGCGGCGAUAAGCCGCCGUCUGCUGCUGUUCCCGGAGUCGCGGCCUGGAGUUGCAGAGCUCCGAAAUCCGGCGAAUCAGUCUCUAUCGCGCCGAGGUCCGGCGCCUCCUUCUCUCUUCCUCAAUCUCGCUCUAAUCUCUCCUAAAUCAAACGCUCCUUUCGGUUCUCUCUCGAUCUGUAUUCAGCCGAGGAAUCCACCGCCGCUGCAACUGGAUUCCGGCGAGCACCAUCGACUGGGAGCCGCUGGAGUGCCGCUGGAGUCCGCUUCUGCUUCGCCGGGAGUCGAGCUGUCGUCGCCUGGAGCUGCUGCUGCUCGCCCGGAGUCGCCGCUGGCUGGCCUGCGAUCGACGGCCAGCAGCUCGCUGGAGGAGCGCCGCCGUCAGCCGCUGCCGUUGGCAGCAAGAAU
rnacentral:lncRNA from 1 species